AACGAACGCUGGCGGCAUGCCUAACACAUGCAAGUCGAACGAGACCUUCGGGUCUAGUGGCGCACGGGUGCGUAACGCGUGGGAACCUGCCCUUAGGUUCGGAAUAACACCCCGAAAGGGGUGCUAAUACCGGGUAAUGUCUUCGGACCAAAGAUUUAUCGCCUUUGUAUGGGCCCGCGUUGGAUUAGCCAGUUGGUAGGGUAAAAGCCUACCAAGGCGACGAUCCAUAGCUGGUCUGAGAGGAUGAUCAGCCACACUGGGACUGGGACACGGCCCAGACUCCUACGGGAGGCAGCAGUGGGGAAUAUUGGACUAUGGGCGAAAGCCUGAUCCAGCAAGGCCGCGUGAGUGAUGAAGGCGUUAGGGUUGUACAGCUCGUUUACCCGGGAUGAUAAUGACGGUACCGGGAGAAUAAGCACCGGCUAACUCCGUG
rnacentral:rRNA from 1 species